AUGAGAUUUAGGGCUGAGACCUCUUCAUCGGGACUGAGAAGGAAGGGGGAACACACCAGAAUAAAUGGGUGGGGGAGGGGUUGAAGGCUAGCCAAAAGGUGAUGGGUGAAGCCAGGUGGGUGGGAAAGGUCAAGGUCCGGAGAAGAAGGAAUCUGAUAGGACAACAGAGUGGACCAUAGGAGACAGAGGGGACCCGGGGGUUGAUACCUUGAACUUAGUAAAAUUAUUGUCCCUUGGUUGGUGUGUGUGUACCUUGUAUCCUUCCUAGUGCCGUCCAUGGAACCUACUCCAGAAACUGCCUAGUAUUACCCUACCACACAGCCCUCUAGUUUUCUAAGCUCCAUGUAUCUAUCUAGGAAUCUCUUAAAGAGCCUUUUGUAUCCACCUCCACCACCUUCGCUGGCAGUGCAUUCCACGCACUCACCAAUCUGUGCGUGAAAAACUUGCCUCUGACAUCCCCUCUGUACCUAAUUCCAAGCAUCUUAAAACGAUGCCCCCUCAUGUUAGCCAUUUCAGCCCUGGGAAAAAAGCCUCUGAAUAUCCACACAAUCACUGUCUCUCAUCAUCUUAUGUACUUAUAUAUCUACAAUUUAUCCUUGCUUGGACAUUAACUAACCCUUGCCUUGCCACAACUUCCUCACAAGCAUGAAACAUACCUUCCCAUCUCCUCCCACUUCUGCAUUUCACAGGGAACGUUCCCUGUGACUCCCUGGUCUAGCCUUCCAUUCCUACCAACAACUCCACUUCAGGCCAGAAACAGAAAAACCAUUCAGUUUAACACAUGGACAAGGAAUUGGUGUAGGAGGGAGGGCUUCAGAUUUUUGGAUAAUUGGGCUCUUUUCCAGGAAAGGUGAGACAUAUACAGAAGGGAUGGUUUGCACCUGAACUGGAGGGGGUUAUGAAUGUACCACAGCUCUGAGGGGCCGAAGGGUGCGGGGGAGCCCCCUCCUUUGUGAGAAUUGCAAGAGCAUUAUUGGGUUGGGUCAGAGGACCCAGGAAAUGAGAGAGAGAGACGUGGCCAUUGUCUCCUGGAGACCACGUUUGUGGAUUGGGGACUAUUCUAUGUGCAAGCCCUUGGGCAAAGUGAGCUGGUUGAGAGAGGGAUUGCGUCAUCCCAACCUGAUUAACAUCUACUACUCGGCGAGUUAAGAUAAAAGGGGGGCUAUAGGGACAGCCCUUCAGACGCACCAGAAGAAACGCUAGCGAUCCCGUAAUAGCGGGAAGCCAUUUGAAGGAAGCCACGUGCGUUCGGUUCCCUUGCCUGGGGGCUGGUGGCUGGUACCACGGAAAACAACUUGGAACUAACAAUGGGGAACCAACUCCACCGACUCAACGGAUUGGCCUCAUAAAGACCUGGGCAAGUUUCAAACCGUCUCUCUUAAACCCAGAGAGCUGCAGCUUGAAAGGACAGUGACUUUUAUCUUUCCAUCAGACAAUACAAUAUCCCCUAGACCGGGGGUCGGCAACCUGCGGCUCCCGAGCCAUUUGUGGCUCUUUCACCUCUGUGCUGCGGCUCCCUGUGGCUUUGGGAAAUAAUUGACUCCAGCCUGUUCAGAUUGGCAAAAACAUCUCCACGAUCUCCAUCAGCACAGGUACACCACAGGGCCUACCAAUGACUGUGUGGCUAAGCACAGAUCCAAAGCCAUAUUCAAGUUUGCUGAUGUCAUCACUGUCGUAGUUCGAAUAAAAGGUGGUGAUGUAUAAGCAUAUAGGAAGGAGAUUGAAAAUCUAGCCAUAACAACAGCCACUUACUCAAUGUCAGCAAGACCAAGGAGCUGAUUAUUGACUUCAGGAGAAGGAAAUUGGAGGACCAUGAGCCAGUCCUCAUUGGAGGGAGUCUGCAGAGAUUCGUCAUGACGUCAAAAACUUUGACAAACUUCUGUAGCUGUGCAGUAGAGAGCAUAUUGUGGCCUGGUUUGGAACCAUCAAUGCCCUUGAAUGGGAGAUCUGGAUUCAGCCCAGUACAUCAGAGGUAAAGCUUUACCAGCCAUUGAGCACAUCUACAUGAAAUGCUGUCAUAGGAAAGCACCAUCCAUCAUUCAGAGAAGCUCACCAUCCAGACUAUGCUCUUUUCUCACAGCUGCCUUCAGGUAGAAGGUACAAGAGCCUCAGGUCUCACACCACCAGGUUUAAAAUCAGUUACUACCCCUCAACCAUCAGUCCCUUGAACUCACUUGCCCACCAUUUGAGAUGUUCCCAAAACCAAUGAUCUCACUUUAAGUCUCUUUAUCUUGUUAUUUUAUGUUGUCUUUAUUUAUUGCUUUUAUUUAUAUUUGCAUUUGCAGUUUGUCAUAUUCUGCCCUUUGAUUGAUCUUUCAUUGAUUGAUUAGCUGAGUAUGUCCACAGGAAAAUGAAUUCCAGGGUUUAUGUGGUGACUCAUAUGUACUUUGAUAAUAAAGUUUACUUUGACUUUCAACUUUUGAAGUUUGAAGGCAGCAUUCAUCAUCAGAGAUCCCCACCACCCAGUAUGAUGUUGGAAAGGUAAUAAAGAAUAUUUUGACCUUUUUCCACAGUACAAGAAAUACUUAAAAACUCUUGAAGCAACACACACAAAAUGCUGGUGGAACACAGCAGGCCAGGCAGCAUCUAUAAGGAGAAACACUGUCGACAUUUCGGGCCGAGACCCUUCGUCAGGACUAACUGAAAGAAAAGAUAGUAAGAGAUUUGAAAGUAGUGGGGGAGGAGGAAAUGUGAAAUGAUAGGAAAAGACCGGAGGGGGUGGGAUGAAGCUAAGAGCUGGAAAGGUGAUUGGUGAAAGUGGUACAGAGCUGGAGAAGGGAAAGGAUCAUGGGAUGGGAGGCCUCGGGAGAAAGAAAGUUGGGGGGAAGCACCAGAGGGAGAUGAAGAACAGGCAAACAACUAAAUAUGUCAGGGAUGGGGUAGCAAGGGGAGGAGGGGCAUAAUGGAAGUUAGAGAAAUCAAUGUUCAUGCCAUCAGGUUGGAGGCUACCCAGACGGUAUAUAAGGUGGUGUUCCUCCAACCUGAGUUUGGAUUCAUUUUGACAGUAGAGGAGGCCAUGGAUAGAAAUAUCAGAAUGGGAAUGGGACGUGGAAUUAAAAUGUGUGGCCACUGGGAGAUCCUGCUUUCUCUGGCGGACCGAGUGUAGCUGUUCAGCGAAAUGGUCUCCCAGUCUCUGUCGGGUUUCACCAAUAUAUAAAAGGCCACACUGGGAGCA